GACGAACGCUGGCGGCGUGCCUAAUACAUGCAAGUAGAACGCACAGUUUAUACCGUAGCUUGCUACACCAUAGACUGUGAGUUGCGAACGGGUGAGUAACGCGUAGGUAACCUGCCUGGUAGCGGGGGAUAACUAUUGGAAACGAUAGCUAAUACCGCAUAAUAUUGAUUAUUGCAUGAUAAUUGAUUGAAAGAUGCUAUUGCAUCACUACCAGAUGGACCUGCGUUGUAUUAGCUAGUAGGUGAGGUAACGGCUCACCUAGGCGACGAUACAUAGCCGACCUGGGAGGGUGGUCGGCCACACUGGGACUGAGACACGGCCCAGACUCCUACGGGAAGCAGCAGUAGGGAAUCUUCGGCAAUGGACGAAAGGCUGACCGGGCAACGCCGCGUGAGUGAAGAAGGUUUUCGGAUCGUAAAGCUCUGUUGUAAGGGAAGAACGGGUGUGAGAGUGGAAAGUUCACACUGUGACGGUAUCUUACCAGAAAGGGACGGCUAACUACGUG
rnacentral:rRNA from 1 species